CGAAAUCGGUAGACGCUACGGACUU
rnacentral:tRNA from 6 species